rnacentral:antisense_RNA from 15 species
CAUAUCCGAUGAUUACAACAGGGUUUAAAGUAGGAUUAUCGAUAAUACGUACAUCUCCACCACCUGGAGCCCACGUAUCAUAUAAACCACCUACAUAAAGAGCUUUAAUUACUAAUAAUAAAGCUCCAAAUCCUAGGAUUACUAAAUGAAUACCUAGAAUCGUAGUAAUUUUAUUCUUAUCACGCCA